GACAGAGGGUGCAAACGUUGUUCGGAAUUACUGGGCGUAAAGCGCGUGUAGGCGGCCAUCUAAGUCGGGCGUGAAAUCCCACGGCUCAACCGUGGAAGUGCACUCGAAACUGGAUGGCUAGAGUCCUGGAGAGGAAGGUGGAAUGCUUGGUGUAGAGGUGAAAUUCGUAGAUAUCAAGCGGAACACCGGUGGCGAAGGCGGCCUUCUGGACAGUGACUGACGCUGAGACGCGAGAGCGUGGGGAGCAAACAGG
rnacentral:rRNA from 1 species